UACGUAGGGACCAAGCGUUGUUCGGAUUUACUGGGCGUAAAGGGCGCGUAGGCGGCGUGUUAAGUCACUUGUGAAAUCUCUAAGCUUAACUUAGAAGGGUCAAGUGAUACUGAUGUGCUAGAGUGCAGAAGGGGCAACCGGAAUUCUUGGUGUAGCGGUGAAAUGCGUAGAUAUCAAGAGGAACACCUGAGGUGAAGACGGGUUGCUGGGCUGAAACUGACGCUGAGGCGCGAAAGCUAGGGUAGCAAACGGG
rnacentral:rRNA from 1 species